UGGGGCCUCCGCGGCCGCCCCGUGAGGCAUCAUUGCCCAAGCGCCGC
rnacentral:ncRNA from 1 species